GGGGAAUCUUCCGCAAUGGACGGAAGUCUGACCGAGCAACGCCGCGUGAGUGAAGAAGGUUUUCGGAUCGUAAAGCUCUGUUGUAAGAGAAGAACGAGUGUGAGAGUGGAAAGUUCACACUGUGACGGUAUCUUACCAGAAAGGGACGGCUAACUACGUGCCAGCAGCCGCGGUAAUACGUAGGUCCCGAGCGUUGUCCGGAUUUAUUGGGCGUAAAGCGAGCGCAGGCGGUUAGAUAAGUCUGAAGUUAAAGGCUGUGGCUUAACCAUAGUACGCUUUGGAAACUGUUUAACUUGAGUGCAAGAGGGGAGAGUGGAAUUCCAUGUGUAGCGGUGAAAUGCGUAGAUAUAUGGAGGAACACCGGUGGCGAAAGCGGCUCUCUGGCUUGUAACUGACGCUGAGGCUCGAAAGCGUGGGGAGCAAACAGGAUUAGAUACCCUGGUAGUCCACGCCGUAAACGAUGAGUGCUAGGUGUUAGACCCUUUCCGGGGUUUAGUGCCGCAGCUAACGCAUUAAGCACUCCGCCUGGGGAGUACGACCGCAAGGUUG
rnacentral:rRNA from 1 species